rnacentral:rRNA from 1 species
GACGAACGCUGGCGGCGUGCUUAACACAUGCAAGUCGAGCGGAGCGGCGAACGGGUGAGUAACGCGUGAGUAACUGCCCCCCUCUCUGGGAUACCAGUUGGAAACGGCUGCUAAUACCGGAUAGUGGGGGAUGACUCGCGUCCUAUCAGCUUGUUGGUGGGGUAGUGGCUUACCAAGGCGACGACGGGUAGCCGGCCUGAGAGGGCGACCGGCCACAUUGGGCUGAGAUACGGCCCAAACGCCUACGGGAGGCAGCAGAGGGGAAUAUUGCACAAGGGGGGAAACCCUGAUGCAGAAACGCCGCGAGCGGGAUGACGGGCUUCGGGUUGAAAACCGCGUUCAUCCAUGACGCGGUAGUGACAGAAGAAGCAACGGCUAACUACGUGCCAGCCGCCGCGGUAAUAC